CCUACGUUAGUCCAUCAGGUUAAGCUGGGGACUCUAGCGGGACUGCCACCGUAAGGUGAGAGGAAGUGGGGAUGACGUCAAAUCAGCACGGCCCUUAUGUCCAGGGCUACACACGUGUUACAAUGGCCAGUACAAAGGGCAGCUACCGGGUGACCGGAUGCUAAUCUACUAAAGCUGGUCUCAGUUCGGAUCGAAGUCUGCAACCCGACUUCGUGAAGCUGGAUUCGCUAGUAAUCGCGCAUCAGCCAUGGCGCGGUGAAUACGUUCCCGGGCCUU
rnacentral:rRNA from 1 species